rnacentral:rRNA from 1 species
GACGAACGCUGGCGGCGUGCCUAAUACAUGCAAGUCGAACGCUUCUUUCCUCCCGAGUGCUUGCACUCAAUUGGAAAGAGGAGUGGCGGACGGGUGAGUAACACGUGGGUAACCUGCCUCAUAGAGUGGAAUAGCCUUCCGAAAGGAAGAUUAAUACCGCAUAAUGUUGAAAGAUGGCAUCAUCAUUCAACCAAAGGAGCAAUCCGCUAUGAGAUGGACCCGCGGCGCAUUAGCUAGUUGGUGGGGUAACGGCCUACCAAGGCGACGAUGCGUAGCCGACCUGAGAGGGUGAUCGGCCACAUUGGGACUGAGACACGGCCCAG